CCUACGGGAGGCAGCAGUAGGGAAUCUUCCACAAUGGACGAAAGUCUGAUGGAGCAACGCCGCGUGAGUGAUGAAGGUUUUCGGAUCGUAAAACUCUGUUGUAAGGGAAGAACAAGUACGAGAGGUAAUGCUCGUACCUUGACGGUACCUUGCGAGAAAGCCACGGCUAACUACGUGCCAGCAGCCGCGGUAAUACGUAGGUGGCAAGCGUUGUCCGGAAUUAUUGGGCGUAAAGCGCGCGCAGGCGGCCUUUUAAGUCUGAUGUGAAAGCCCCCGGCUCAACCGGGGAGGGUCAUUGGAAACUGGAAGGCUUGAGUACAGAAGAGAAGAGUGGAAUUCCAUGUGUAGCGGUGAAAUGCGUAGAGAUGUGGAGGAACACCAGUGGCGAAGGCGACUCUUUGGUCUGUAACUGACGCUGAGGCGCGAAAGCGUGGGGAGCAAACAGGAUUAGAUACCCUGGUAGUCCACGCCGUAAACGAUGAGUGCUAGGUGUUGGGGGGUUUCCGCCCGUCAGUGCUGAAGCUAACGCAUUAAGCACUCCGCCUGGGGAUACGGCCGCAAGGCUGAAACUCAAAGGAUUGACG
rnacentral:rRNA from 1 species